GAUCAUGGCUCAGGACGAACGCUGGCGGCGUGCCUAACACAUGCAAGUCGAGCGGAGACAGUGAGUAGCUUGCUAUGAACUGUUUUAGCGGCGGACGGGUGAGUAACGCGUGAGCAACCUUUCCCAGACAGGGGAAUAACACACCGAAAGGUGUACUAAUACCGCAUAAGACCACGGUUUCACAUGGAACUGAGGUAAAAGAUUUAUCGGUUUGGGGUGGGCUCGCGUCCGAUUAGGUAGUUGGUGAGGUAACCGG
rnacentral:rRNA from 1 species